GUCCCUUGGGGGACAUCCGAUAAAAUUGGAACGAUACAGAGAAGAUUAGCAUGGCUCCUGCGCAAGUAUAUGACGCGCAUAAAUCGAGAAAUGGUCCAAAAUUCU